UAGUAGUUUGAGCUUUCUCUUAUUUUAUACCUUUUCCAUUCAAAAAGAAACUCAAACAAACUCAGAUUUGAGUUCAGGAAGCGCUCCUAUCCACAUGUUCUUAAGAAAUAAUUUAUCUUAAAUUAUUUAAGUUGUUGAUGUGAUCAGAGAAUUAGCUCGGAUGAACUUGAAACAGAAAACGCCAUAUGUAUGCGAUUUAUAACGAAAUAAUGUUGUUUUUUUUGUAUAAAUCUUUUUGUUCCCUCCCUCUACUACUACAUGUUACUCAAAACUGCCUUAUAGCUUUUAUCAUGGAGCUAAUCAUUGUAAUAUGUUUUAUCAUGUUUCAGAGAUGCACCAGGACAAUCAUCAACAAUUCAGCCAGGACAGGUUAUAAGGCAGACUGUGGCAGCAUGACAUUUCUUGCUUUCAGUGUUGUUGUUUAAGACAUUUUAAUCUGUUUUUCAGAUAGUAAUAUCUGAUGCUGAGGAUCUGGAUCCACCUGAAACAAAUCCAGAAAAACCGUCUUGCUACAGUAAAUACACAGACCUGUUUUCACCAAAUGUUGAGCAAGAAGACGAAGAGCCGGUUGCUGUCAAUGUGACGAAUUUUCAACACACAGCAAUGGAGGAGACGGGCAUUACAUUACCUGACAUCGUGGCAAACCUGUCACUUCCUAUUGAUCACAAAAAAGUCAGCCGGUUCAACAUCUCAAGGGCUAACUUUUGGGAUGGGGCAGUCAGAGGUUUCAAGCGUACAACCUAUUCUGAAACCUGUGACAUGCUGGUGAAAUUUACUGAUGAUACUGGUGUUCUGGAAGAGGGAAUUGACACUGGUGGUCCAAGACGAGAGUUUUUGACUCUACUGAUGAAACACCUAAAAGACCGGCCCAUUUUUGAUGGACCAGAAGGACAUCGGUUCAGUUGUGCAUGGAGGUCCAGGGCCCCAUUUCCUGUCGGAAGAUCUUGUACAUUAUCUUGCAGGCCAGCCUUCAUUCAAAGCAACAAAUAACUUAAUAACUGAUGAA